rnacentral:rRNA from 1 species
ACGUAUGGUGCAAGCGUUAUCCGGAUUUACUGGGUGUAAAGGGAGCGUAGACGGGUGGGCAAGUCUGAUGUGAAAACCCGGGGCUCAACCCCGGGACUGCAUUGGAAACUGUUCAUCUAGAGUGCUGGAGAGGUAAGUGGAAUUCCUAGUGUAGCGGUGAAAUGCGUAGAUAUUAGGAGGAACACCAGUGGCGAAGGCGGCUUACUGGACAGUAACUGACGUUGAGGCUCGAAAGCGUGGGGAGCAAACAG